rnacentral:rRNA from 1 species
AACGAACGCUGGCGGCGUGCCUAACACAUGCAAGUCGAGCGCGAAAGGGCUUCGGCCCCGGUAGAGCGGCGCACGGGUGAGGAACACGUGAGUAAUCUACCCUUCGGCGGGGGACAACUGCUGGAAACGGCAGCUAAUACCGCGUACAGUCUUGGAAUCGCAGGGUUUCAAGAGCAAAGAGGGCCUCGGCUCUCACCGGAGGAUGAGCUCGCGUCCCAUUAGCUAGUUGGUAAGGUAAUGGCUUACCAAGGCAAAGACGGGUAGCUGGUUUGAGAGAAUGAUCAGCCACACUGGCACUGGAACACGGGCCAGACUCCUACGGGAGGCAGCAGUGAGGAAUAUUGGGCAAUGGGCGAAAGCCUGACCCAGCCACGCCGCGUGAGUGAUGAAGGCCCUCGGGUCGUAAAGCUCUGUGGAGAGGGACGAAAACCUGGGUCUAAUAGGCCCGGACUUGACGGUACCUCUUUAGCAAGCACCGGCUAACUCUGUGCCAGCAGCCGACGG